GACGAACGCUGGCGGCGUGCUUAACACAUGCACGUCGAGCGGAGCGGCGAACGGGUGAGUAACGCGUGAGUCACUGCCCCCCUCUCUGGGAUAACAGUUGGCACCGGCUGCUAAUACCGGUUAGUGGGGGAUGACUCGCGUCCUAUCAGCUUGUUGGUGGGGUAGUGGCAUACCAAUGCGACGACGGGUAGCCGGCCUGAGAGGGCGAACGGCCACAUUGGGCUGAGAUACGGGCCAAACUCCUACUGGAGGCAGCAGGGGGGAAUAUUGCACAAGGGGGGAAACCCGGAUGCAGCAACGCGCGUGCGGGAUGACGGCCUUCGGGUUGUAAACAGCUUUCAGCCAUGACGCGGUAGUGGCAGAAGAAGCACCGGCUAACUCCGUGCCAGCAGCCGCGGUAAUAC
rnacentral:rRNA from 1 species